AACCAAUGUUAUUUUAUUCUUACCUACAUUCCAAUUAAUUAUUAUUGCAUGCGUACUCUAUUGUGAGUUUUAGACGACCGUAACAUUCGUGCCUCACUUAGCAAUAAAAAUCAUUUUAAUACAGCAGCUAUCGAUACACAGAGAUUUACUUAAUAAAAAAUUAGUCCUACCUGUCAUGCAAUAUACUACAUUUGAGUAUGCGUGUUUAUAGAUUAUGAUAAAAUAAUUAGUCGAAUAAACUGAAAUUUUAAAAAGCAGAAAAUCCCUCCAGAUUGCAUAAGACUGUAUAAAUCAUCACCAGUGGACCAUCGCCAGAAGCAUGUGAUUCAGACCUUUCCUAAAUCUCGCAUUUCGUAGUCAUCUGUGUAUGAGUUGUUCACAAACUGUCCUUCUCUAGUUGUCAUUUUCUGUAACGUUACAUCACCUGCAGGGCGAGGUAGUGGUCGCAAACGAUUGGCAUUCU
rnacentral:lncRNA from 1 species